rnacentral:tRNA from 1 species
GCCUGGGUGGCUCAGUCAGUUAAGCAUCAGACUCUUAAUCUCAGCUCAGGUCUUCAUCUCACAGUUGUGAGUUUGAGCCUCACCUUGGGCA